AUUCCAGCUCCAAUAGCGUAUAUUUAAGUUGUUGCAGUUAAAAAGCUCGUAGUCGGACUUUGGCUGAGAACGGUCGGUCCGCCGUUAGGUGUGCACUGACUGGUCUCAGCUUCCUGGUGAGGAGGUGUGCUUCACGGCCACUUAGUCACCGUGGUUACUUUGAAAAAAUUAGAGUGUUCAAAGCGGGCUUACGCUUGAAUAUAUUAGCAUGGAAUAACACCAUAGGACUCCUGUCCUAUUUCGUUGGUCUCGGGACGGGAGUAAUGAUUAAGAGGAACAGUUGGGGGCAUUCGUAUUUCAUUGUCAGAGGUGAAAUUCUUGGAUUUAUGAAAGACGAACUUCUGCGAAAGCAUUUGCCAAGGAUGUUUUCAUCG
rnacentral:rRNA from 1 species